rnacentral:rRNA from 1 species
GAUAAACGCUGGCGGCGCACAUAAGACAUGCAAGUCGAACGAACUUAAUUGAGAGCUUGCUCUCAAAGCGGUUAGUGGCGGACUGGUGAGUAACACGUAAGCGACCUGCCUAUUAGAGGGGAAUAACAGCGAGAAAUCGUUGCUAAUACCGCAUAUGCUGUGAGUAUCGCAUGAUACAAGCAGGAAAGGAGCAAUCCGCUAAUAGAUGGGCUUGCGUCUGAUUAGUUAGUUGGUGGGGUAACGGCCUACCAAGACGAUGAUCAGUAGCCGGACUGAGAGGUUGAACGGCCACAUUGGGACUGAGAUACGGCCCAGACUCCUACGGGAGGCAGCAGUCGGGAAUAUUGCGCAAUGGAGGAAACUCUGACGCAGUGACGCCGCGUGCAGGAAGAAGGUUUUCGGAUUGUAAACUGCUUUUAACAGGAGGGAAAAAUGACGGACCUGUGAAUAAG